rnacentral:rRNA from 1 species
CCUACGGGUGGCAGCAGUCGAGAAUCAUUCACAAUGGGGGAAACCCUGAUGGUGCGACGCCGCGUGGGGGAAUGAAGGUCUUCGGAUUGUAAACCCCUGUCAUGUGGGAGCAAAUUAUAAAGAUAGUACCACAAGAGGAAGAGACGGCUAACUCUGUGCCAGCAGCCGCGGUAAUACAGAGGUCUCAAGCGUUGUUCGGAAUCACUGGGCGUAAAGGGUGCGUAGGCUGUUUCGUAAGUCGUGUGUGAAAGGCGCGGGCUCAACCCGCGGACGGCACAUGAUACUGGGGGACUAGAGUAAUGGAGGGGGAACCGGAAUUCUCGGUGUAGCAGUGAAAUGCGUAGAUAUCGAGAGGAACACUCGUGGCGAAGGCGGGUUCCUGGACAUUAACUGACGCUGAGGCACGAAGGCGAGGGGAGCGAAAGGGAUUAGAUACCCCUGUAGUC